UUGUUGUCUUCCCGUAUUUAGAGUUCCAGCGACUGGUGAAGUCUAGGCAGCCGGCGGUUCGGCUACGUACGUGGUGAGGGAGCUGAAAACUCCGCUUUCACUCGGGAGGACGAGAUGGACGUUCUAAAAUCGGAAAUCCUUCGGAAGCGGCAGCUGGUGUAGGACAGGAAUCUGCUGGUGGACAUUAACGGAUGUGUCAAGGAUCAAGACUUAAUAGACUUAAUGAUUUGAAGACUUCGUCGAGUGAAGUCAUCAUCCAGCUAAGUGAACCUGGCUCCCUCCAAAGGCAACG